CCUACGGGUGGCAGCAGUGAGGAAUAUUGGUCAAUGGGCGCGAGCCUGAACCAGCCAAGCAGCGUGAAGGAUGACUGCCCUAGGGGUUGAAAACUUCUUUUAUAAAGGAAUAAAGUGAGGCACGUGUGCCUUUUUGCAUGUACUUUAUGAAUAAGGAUCGGCUAACUCCGUGCCAGCAGCCGCGGUAAUACGGAGGAUCCGAGCGUUAUCCGGAUUUAUUGGGUUUAAAGGGAGCGUAGGUGGGUUGUUAAGUCAGUUGUGAAAGUUUGCGGCUCAACCGUAGAAUUGCAGUUGAUACUGGCAGUCUUGAGUGCAGUUGAGGUAGGCGGAAUUCGUGGUGUAGCGGUGAAAUGCUUAGAUAUCACGAAGAACACCGAUUGCGAAGGCAGCUUACUAAACUGCCACUGACGUUGAUGCUCGAAAGUGUGGGUAGCAAACAGGAUUAGAUACCCGAGUAGUC
rnacentral:rRNA from 1 species